CCGCCGCAGCAACGGCUGGCACGGCGGCGGCUGAAUUCGACUUCCCAUUCUCGGCGGAGGAGUUUUCAAUCUCGCGGAUCUGCCCGACAUCCUUGUUGGAAACCUCUCUCGUGGUUUUCCGCUUCCGGCAGAGGCAGAAGAAGAUCAGUAACAGCAAUAAGAAUCCGAUUACGCACCCGAUGAUGAUUCCGGCGAGUGCGCCGCCGGAUAGUUUUUUUCUUCCGCCGCCGGUGGCGGCGUCUGUGCCGUCACAGCUGACCAGUGGCUUCCCGCAGAGCUGGGAGUUAUCCAAGAAAGCGGCGGCGGGCUUUGUGGCGAGAGCGG
rnacentral:lncRNA from 1 species